rnacentral:rRNA from 1 species
AUUGAACGCUGGCGGAAUGCUUUACACAUGCAAGUCGAACGGUAGAGGGGGCAACCCCCUUGAGAGUGGCGAACGGGUGAGUAAUAUAUCGGAACGUGCCCAGUCGUGGGGGAUAACGUAGCGAAAGUUACGCUAAUACCGCAUACGAUCUACGGAUGAAAGCGGGGGACUCGCAAGAGCCUCGCGCGAUUGGAGCGGCCGAUAUCAGAUUAGGUAGUUGGUGGGGUAAAGGCCUACCAAGCCGACGAUCUUUAGCGGGUCUGAGAGGACGAUCCGCCACACUGGGACUGAGACACGGCCCAGACUCCUACGGGAGGCAGCAGUGGGGAAUUUUGGACAAUGGGGGCAACCCUGAUCCAGCAAUGCCGCGUGAGUGAAGAAGGCCUUCGGGUUG